rnacentral:rRNA from 1 species
AGCAGCCGCGGUAAAUUCCAGCUCCAAUAGCGUAUAUUAAAGUUGUUGCAGUUAAAAAGCUCGUAGUUGAAUUUCGAGACCGGCUUACUGGUCGUGCUAUUGUACGUACUGGUAUAAUCGGUUUCUCCUUUCCGACGAACUUUAAUGCCAUUAAUUUGGUGUUUUAGGGAAUCAGGACUGUUACUUUGAAAAAAUUAGAGUGUUUAAAGCAGGCUCACGCUUGAAUACAUUAGCAUGGAAUAACGGAAUAGGACGUUUGAUUCUAUUUUGUUGGUUUCUAGGAUCGACGUAAUGAUUAAUAGGGAUAGUUGGGGGCAUUAGUAUUCAAUUGUCAGAGGUGAAAUUCUUGGAUUUAUUGAAGACUAACUACUGCGAAAGCAUUUGCCAAGGAUGUUUUCAUUAAUCAAGAACGAAAGUUAGGGGAUCGAAGACGAUCAGAUACCGUCGUAGUCUUAACCAUAAACUAUGCCGACUAGGGAUCGGAUGAUGUUAAUUUUUUAAUGACUCAUUCGGCGCCUUACGG